CGGGUCUCCUGCCCUCCCUGGGCUCUCUCCACCCGGAUCUCCUGUCCGCUCCAGGCGCUCCGACAUCAUCCCCUACACGCCGCCGCCGUCCCCCGGCCUCACGGGCCGCCUGCCCCCCAUCGUCAAACAGUACCAGGAGCGCGGCCAAAGGGAGCAGGCAGAGGGGUAUUCCCGCAGAUCCCCCAUGUACUGUGGGGGCCGGCACACCAGCAUCUGCCCAGUGCAGCCGAUGGAGCCCCUCCUCCCAGACCCCAGCAAGCCCGGCGU
rnacentral:lncRNA from 1 species